rnacentral:rRNA from 1 species
UACGUAGGGCGCAAGCGUUGUCCGGAAUUAUUGGGCGUAAAGAGCUCGUAGGCGGUCCGUUACGUCCGCUGUGAAAACCCAGGGCUUAACCCUGGGCUUGCAGUGGAUACGGGCAGACUAGAGGCAGGUAGGGGAGAAUGGAAUUCCCGGUGUAGCGGUGAAAUGCGCAGAUAUCGGGAGGAACACCGGUGGCGAAGGCGGUUCUCUGGGCCUGACCUGACGCUGAGGAGCGAAAGCGUGGGGAUCGAACAGG